CCAGCAGCUGCGGUAAUUCCAGCUCCAAUAGCGUAUAUUUAAGUUGUUGCAGUUAAAAAGCUCGUAGUUGGAUUUCGGGUGGGUUCCUGCGGUCCGCCUCUGGUGAGUACUGCUGUGGCCUACCUUUCUGUCGGGGACGGGCUCCUGGGAUUCACUUCUCGGGACUCGGAGUCGACGAGGUUACUUUGAGUAAAUUAGAGUGUUCAAAGCAAGCCUACGCUCUGAAUAUGUUAGCAUGGAAUAACACGAUAGGACUCUGGCCUAUCUUGUUGGUCUGUAGGACCGGAGUAAUGAUUAAGAGGGACAGUCGGGGGCAUUCGUAUUUCAUUGUCAGAGGUGAAAUUCUUGGAUUUAUGAAAGACGAACUUCUGCGAAAGCAUUUGCCAAGGAUGUUUUCAUUAAUCAAGAACGAAAGU
rnacentral:rRNA from 1 species